UUAGAACCAUAUUUUCACUACCCUCGCAAAUACAGAGAAACUAUUGAAUCUCUUGCAAUAUUCCAAUUUUCUGAAACAAUCAAUCCACUUCUGUUUCAAUGACAAAGUGAUGAGAAAAAUGGCGUCUACGGUCUGAACUUGGAUUUGGAGCGUUUCGUGAAGCACUUUCUGGCCGUGAAAAAUUGAAGAGCAUCAUCGGCGGUCCACGGGUCCGGUAAGAAUCACUGUUAUUUCGAUUACUCCUUCCGUUUUUUUCAUUAAACUUCAGAAUUUCGAUUAAGGGCUGGUGCCUUAGAAAAUCAGUAAACCACCCACUGAUUUGAUUAUGUCGCUCGUCAGUUUUAGAAAUUGUGUCGAAUUUGUACAUUGGAAUUUCUACAAAAACGAUUUGCAAUUGUUGUACUGGUUGCUUGAUUUUCAUACCUUUGAUAAACUCCUGUAAAAAUUGGUUCUUUGUUUGCUUCUUCCUGUCCGGAUUCUCAAAUUUUCUGAAACAAAAGUUAUUAUUCUUGCUUGGAGUGUAAAUCUGCAGCACCAAUAUUUCUCCUUUUUUUCUUUUACCUUUUUGCAUAAGAUAGUCAUUUGUGUGAACAUGAAUACUUUUAGCUUGCACCGAUUAUGUGAGAUUCUUGCAUGGAUGAUUUGCAAUUUUUGAAAAAACUAUUUGAAUGGGAACGUCAAUCCAGAUACAUGAUUGGUUAGAUUGCCGAUUAAGAUGGAAAAAGUAAAAGUUGGAAGACAAACUAAUUACAUGUUUGGUCUGGUAAGGAUGAAAGGGACUAGCCUGGGAUAAAUGAUGAUUGGAACAUUAAUUUGCUGAUAAAUUUGAAUGGGAACUGAGAAUUAUCCACUGCAGUUCUGAGAAUACAUGGAAAAAGAAGUAUUGUACUUAGCUUUUACUGUUGAAUGACUGGGAUCAGAGAUUCAGUAGGCUAAUAUGUUAUAGUUUAAGGUUAUACAUUUCCAUGAUUGGGCAUUUAUUUACAAGGUUCAUUAACUUGGAAUUCGUAUUAUUUUUUGAACAAAUAUGCAGAAAAAAUAAGGAAAACCAGUUCAGCGAAGGAGAGGGUAACUAAGGUCAGUACACGCGCCUUAUUGCCAACUUUAAUAUGUUUGUUUUCAGGCCUGAUCGUUGCUUAUUCCCUUUGUGUGGUUGAAAUCUGUUGGGUUUUAAUUCUGCCAUUCUUGUAGCUGAAAUUAUAUUAUAUUACAAAAAGGGGCAUGAAUAUAUUGCUGACUUGAUUAUUUGGCUCUACAUAUCCGUCUGUUAUCAC
rnacentral:lncRNA from 1 species